UGCGACCACCUUAGUUUGUGAGCUCCAGCCGGGCCGGCCGGCGACGCGCGCGCGAGUUGUGAGCCGCUGUGGACACGUGACCGGCCGCCUGCGGGCGAAUUGGGCGGAGCCGACUGCGGCGGCGGCCGCUGAUCAGCGGUCAGUUGGCGUCCUGAUCUCGAACCCGUAAGGUACGGCCUUUUGCGGCUGAUCUUUGCACACGGGUAGAGUGACGGCGCGACUCAGGCACCGGGAGAGUGCGGCCUUGAGGCUGACUCCUUGCACACCGGUUGCUACCGCUGGUCGGCUAGGCUUCGAGGAGGGGUGGAGGGUCGGCUAUCGGUGGCGGCGCGGGGUAACCCGGUGCCAACCCCAAAUUGGAACCUUUGUGGUGUAGUGUAUUUCUGGAUCGGAUAUCGACCCUGUCCUGACGCGUGAGCUCUCGGUCAGCGAAGCAGCGGCAUGGUGCUCUGCGGUGCUUCACCGGAACGGUCUUUUGGACUGUCCGGUCACAAGCAAUGGACAGAUGGACCGGUACGGCGGCUGGACGGUGACACGGCGGCCGGACGCUGAUCGCACGAAGACCGGGCGCACUGGACUUUCCCGGAAUGGCUCAAGCUGAAGCCAGGCGAAGCGAGUGCGGUGUGCGUGUGCCUAGCUGGACACUGGGCAGUGACGUGCAGUGACGAUGUGUACGUGAUGCGGCGGACGCGGUGCUGACGUCACGGUGAUAUCGGUGAUUCAUUGCGUCCAAGAUGGCAGUUCAUUUUGUGUUGAAAAUUUGUUAAUUUUCAAGGGGGGAGUAUGUUGUGAAAUGCGACCACCUUAGUUUGUGAGCUCCAGCCGGGCCGGCCGGCGACGCGCGCGCGAGUUGUGAGCCGCUGUGGACACGUGACCGGCCGCCUGCGGGCGAAUUGGGCGGAGCCGACUGCGGCGGCGGCCGCUGAUCAGCGGUCAGUUGGCGUCCUGAUCUCGAACCCGUAAGGUACGGCCUUUUGCGGCUGAUCUUUGCACACGGGUAGAGUGACGGCGCGACUCAGGCACCGGGAGAGUGCGGCCUUGAGGCUGACUCCUUGCACACCGGUUGCUACCGCUGGUCGGCUAGGCUUCGAGGAGGGGUGGAGGGUCGGCUAUCGGUGGCGGCGCGGGGUAACCCGGUGCCAACCCCAAAUUGGAACCUUUGUGGUGUAGUGUAUUUCUGGAUCGGAUAUCGGUAAGGUCAGCUAAUGCUGUUUAACUCCGACAAUUGUCGUUUAAAGGGUGGCUAGCCACGGGUUGUAUUUGAUUGUGCUUAUCAUCACAAUAUAUCGCGGCACUUCAA
rnacentral:lncRNA from 1 species